rnacentral:rRNA from 1 species
AGUGAACGCUGGCGGUAUGCCUAACACAUGCAAGUCGAACGACAGCACAGUAAGAUCGUGCUCUUACGGUUGGCGAGUGGCGGACGGGUGAGGAAUACAUCGGAAUCUACUUUUUCUGGGGUAAUAACGUAGGGAAACUUACGCUAAUACCUCAUACGACCUACGGGUGAGAUCAGUAGAGCUUCGGACCUUUCGCGAUAGAAUUAGCCGAUGUCGGAUUAGCUAGUUGGCGGGGUAAAGACUCACCAAGGCGACGAUCCGUAGCUGGUCUGAGAGGAUGAUCAGCCACACUGGAACUGAGACACGGUCCAGACUCCUACGGGAGGCAGCAGUGGGGAAUAUUGGACAAUGGGCGAAAGCCUGACCCAGCAAUACCGCGUGGGUGAAGAAGGUCUUCGGGUCGUAAAGCCCUUUUGUUGGGAAAGAAAAGCAGCAGGUUAAUACCUCGAUGUUCUGACGGUACCUAAAGAAUAAGCCCCGGCUAACUUCGUG